ensembl:snRNA Gm22140 predicted gene, 22140
ACAUGCCUUCCUUGCUUUCUUCCACCACAUAUAUAUACUAAAAUUGGAAUGAUGCUGAGAAGAUUAGCAUGCCUCCCUCAAAAUAAUGACAUGCAAGUUUGUGAAGUGUUCCAUAGACAA